CUUAUUCCCAUGGCAAUCUUCUCUAAGUAAUGUUAAUUUAAGUACUUGGAACAUCAGUGCAUGUACCUUUCCAAGAAAUAAUUUAUCCAAAAAUGUAAGUUCAGAUGAGCACCUCUGUGUGUGCAACAUUGACAUGGCUGAGUGAAGAGCUGUGGUGGUGUAUCAUGGCUGUGAUUGGCUUUCUAUCUUCAAGCUCCGAAGAGAUAAACCCAACCAUCCAAUCAAGACAUUUAUAUCAGAGUUUAUAGAAGUUUUUGCAAUUGUGAUCUCUCUCUCUCCUCCCUCCCUCCCUCCCUCUCUCUCUGGUUCCUGCGUGUGUG
rnacentral:lncRNA from 1 species